rnacentral:rRNA from 1 species
CCUACGGGUGGCAGCAGUGGGGAAUAUUGCGCAAUGGGCGAAAGCCUGACGCAGCGACGCCGCGUGAGGGAUGAAGGUCUUCGGAUCGUAAACCUCUGUCAGCAGGGAAGAACGGUCACUGUGCUAAUCAGCAGUGAAUUGACGGUACCUGCAAAGGAAGCACCGGCUAACUCCGUGCCAGCAGCCGCGGUAAUACGGAGGGUGCGAGCGUUAAUCAGAAUUACUGGGCGUAAAGCGCUCGUAGGUGGUAUGUCAAGUGAAUGGUGAAAUCCCCGCGCUCAACGUGGGAACUGCCUUUGAAACUGGCAAACUGGAGUGUGUGAGAGGAUAGUGGAAUGCCAGGUGUAGGAGUGAAAUGCGUAGAUAUCUGGAGGAACAUCAGUGGCGAAGGCGACUAUCUGGCACAUAACUGACGCUGAGGAGCGAAAGCGUGGGUAGCAAACAGGAUUAGAUACCCUAGUAGUC